rnacentral:rRNA from 1 species
GACGGAGGGUGCAAGCGUUGUUCGGAAUUACUGGGCGUAAAGGGCGCGUAGGCGGUCUGUUAAGUUCGGUGUGAAAGCCCUCGGCUUACCCGGGGAACUGCGCCGGAAACCGACAGACUCGAGUACCGGAGAGGAGGGUGGAAUUCCUGGUGUAGCGGUGAAAUGCGCAGAUAUCAGGAGGAACACCGGUGGCGAAGGCGGCUUGCUGGGCCAGUUCUGACGCUGAGGAGCGAAAGCGUGGGGAGCGAACAGG